UCCAGACUCCUACGGGAGGCAGCAGUGGGGAAUAUUGCACAAUGGGGGGAACCCUGAUGCAGCGACGCCGCGUGAGUGAAGAAGUAUCUCGGUACGUAAAGCUCUAUCAGCAGGGAAGAAAAUGACGGUACCUGACUAAGAAGCCCCGGCUAACUACGUGCCAGCAGCCGCGGUAAUACGUAGGGGGCAAGCGCUAUCCGGAUUUACUGGGUGUAAAGGGAGCGUAGACGGCACUGCAAGUCCGGAGUGAAAGCCCAAGGCUUAACCAUGGGACUGCUCUGGAAACUGUGGAGCUUGAGUGCGGGAGGGGCAGGCGGAAUUCCUAGUGUAGCGGUGAAAUGCGUAGAUAUUAGGAGGAACACCGGCGGCGAAGGCGG
rnacentral:rRNA from 1 species